ACUUUUAUAAAUAUCAGCGUGACUUCCGCCCUGCCUCUUGGUCUAAACCGACUUCGACCAUGGUAUCUCGUCUUCUGCUGGGACUUUGCAUCAAUAUUGUGAGUAUGUCAGCCGCUUUAACUCAUGAACAGUAUAGUUUGAACUCUGGUGAGGUAGCGUUGAUUACAUCCGCUGACCGUUGAUUUAAAGGGUUGUAAAUGUGCUGUGUGAAAUACUUGUGAGUAGCUGGUGCUGACCCCAGAGCACGUGGCUCCCCUCAACAGAUUCACCCUUUCCCUUCUCUGGACCACACUGGACCUGGUUCUGAUUUAAAACCACAAUACCCAGACCUCUCAUAUUUGGACCUUUUUAUUCUAGAUGUGACGGAGGCCAUUUUGAUAUGCCUCUCCUAAAAGUUUGACUCACAGUGUUGCUGUUUCAGGACACGGGUUCACUGUAACCGUGAGAUGCUUUUUACGUUCAGUUAAUUAGAAAAUUUGAUAGAUAAUAAUUGUCAUCAAUUUAGAAGCUAAACCAGCAAUUAUGUGUGGUAAUACUGUAUUUCUCUUUCGGGUGUCCUUAACCUGCCAUACCUACCCUUAUAAGUGUACAGUAUAUACAGUAUGAUACAGAAAGUUCCUGCAGAACUAAAGUUUGUACCGUUUAAUCGUUCUAAAGGAACACUGUGCUUCUUAUGAAGGCAAAAACACAUCAGUAAUCUCAAAUACAAAGAUAUUAAAGAAUAAAAGGACAAGUAUUUCAUGAAAGAAGUAGUAACUGUGUUAUUCCUGUAACACGCGUUUCAAUUUGUGAAAUCUUUUUGUAUUACGUACAAUAGUUUUGCUCAUUUCUUUUCAAUUUUUGCAUUGCUUAGUUUUUUCGGGGGUAAUAAAUAUUUGGCAGUUGACCGUCAAGGUCUCUGUACAUCUGGAAAACUGUUUGGAUUAAGUAAGGUAUUGUAAUUUACAGAUAAAUGAUGGCUAUGGAUCAGGAAGUCUUCCUCAAAAUUGCACCUUACAUAAAAGCACUCGCUUUACUUUAAGAUGCAAUUGGAAGAUGUCCUCGUGCACAUAGUGGAAAUUGAAGCUACUUUCUUGAAAUCUUUUACUUUAAAGGUUCACAAAGUUGAAAGAUUGAAUCAAAUGAGUGGGAUGACCUUUGCAGUAAAAUAACUAAAUGACGAAGCACAACAAGCUGAAUUAAAACACACAAAACCUUCAGUGUAUUUUUUUUUUGUACUGAUCUGAGAUUUAUGUUCUUUGCAGAGAUGCUGUGUCCCUUGCUGAGGAAUUGUACAGGCGGCGCAUCCACGAUGGGGUAGAGCAAACAAACCUGAUUCCUUGCUUGUGAGGCUGAAGGUAAAUAUAUGGAUCUGGAGCUCUGUAUGUAGUAUCAGAAAUCACUGAUCUCCUAAUGUGGUUCCUUCCAGCUCUCAGUCAGCUGACCAGGCCUUGUCUGUGCCCGGAUCAGUGUUACAGCGCUGGUAGAUGAAGUCUUUGCACCUGGUCUCAGCUGUGCGGACUCUGUUUUAGAGUCUGUGUCUUCUGAGCUGCUGCAGAGCGCGGCCCAACGAGAGUGGCCUGUCCUGAUCUAACAGCUGGACAGGCCUAGUAUAGGGCCACACAUUCACUGACAGCACAGGGUCGAACUCUGUCCAAAACACAAUUGCAGUUAAAACUGUAGCUGUUUAAUGGGCUUGACCCACCUGAGGUCAACAUUAGACUUUCUAAUUCUUACCUUAAUUGUUUUAAAGAUGAUCAGAAACUAAUACAAGUGUUCAUUGAAGUUCUCUAAGUGAACCUAUUUAAACCAAACUUUCCUCCAUCCAUCUGUUUUCAGACUUCAAGCCUCUGCUGAGCUGCUCAGUGUGCAGCUGAAUGUCCCUCUGCAGCCUGACUGAGCUGGGGUGAGUGUCUGAACCUUUUUCACUAAAACAGCUGCGUCUUAUGCUGUGAUGACGAAAAUAUAACACAUCAUGCUGACAAACACCAUGGUGAUCUUGAAUCUCUGAGCAAAGCUUUUGACUGUCAGUGAUGGAGAACCGACUGGCUUAUCUGUGCUGACUGCUGCUCUCGUCUUUGUAGGAGCAGGUGGUGCCUCUGGCCUGAAGGGGGCAGCAAACACUGGGUAGAGCUGUGACUGACCGCCUGAGGUACAUUUUGAAUGUGAUCCAGAGUAUUUUAUUGUGAAUUUAAACCCAAUCUUGUACUGCCAUGGCAGAGACCUUCCCUCUCUGCUGUGGAAUCUUUGUAUUGGGAGAGAAACGUCAGGACUUUGGCACAGGUUCACGUAAAGACGAUUUACCAGAACCUGACUGAAGACCUGGGACAUGCUGCACAUCUCAGAACAUACAAAUCCGGGCUUCAGGUUUGAGCUGUCAGCUAAUUCUUUAUUUUCUUUAUUUUUUAGCGUAUGCAGCUGAAACUUGACCGGCUGUCCUGGAUGAACGGAGAAGUUUGAGUUCUUUUUACUGGACGUGACAUCAGGUCACCUGUUUUCAGACUGUCUGGUUCACCUGAUGGGGUUUGGGGCUAGAAAUGAAGCUUGCUCUGUGUAUUUCACCUGCUGUAAUAACUGUUAAGAGUCUUGAAUAAAAUCUGAAUCUGCAAAACUUGAA
rnacentral:lncRNA from 1 species